GAAAGUUAAGAAAACAAAAACAACAGUUAAGUUUGACCGACGGCGAGCUGCUCUUGACGAUGACGAUGAUUGGUAAACUGUCGUCAUGAGAAGGAAUCAAAAGAAGAAAUCCCAGACUUAAGCCAUGAAGCACACUUUUUUGCCUACAUUUACACUCCGCUUUCUAGAUUCUUUCGGAAACAUAUUUUUUUUCAUCUAUUUCUUACAGUUUCCUUUCUCUUGAAAUAUAGGAUUUGACUGUUUUUAUUAUUUGUUUUUUGUGGGUGUGAACUAGAGAAAAUGUUUUCUGUUGUGCUUUUUGGUAACAAUCAAAUAAGAAAACUGCUUUUUCUCUGUAUUGAAAAAAAAAAAAAAAUUAUGAAAUUAUUUUUCAAAUCAUUACUGAUUUUCUCUCAAGGUUUUCUCUUUUGUUUGUUCUGUUAGUUUUGCUCAACUUUUUAAAGAAUUAUGAUGUUCAAGUUGGUUGUCUUUACUGGAUCUGAAGUCAUGGCAAACUGCAAUCUUUUGCUCUCAACACCACUUUUUAAUAUCUCACUUAUUUCUAAGAUCUGCUUUUUCCUGGUAAAAAAAUCAGUCGACAAUUUAAAAUGAUACCUGAUCAUAGUUUUUUUUUUCUAUGAAAGAGAUUGUUGGGGGUUUCGAAUAAAGUUUGCAGAAACCAAAGUAUUUUUUCACAAUCCCUGCCAAAUGUGUGAUCAGACUGAGUGAAUAACUUCAGUUGCACUUUUUACUAUGAUCCUCUACUAUGUAAGACUUGCGUCCUUUACACUAUGCAUAACCCAGGCUUGAAUAUUCAUGGCUUAAUUAAUAUAAAAUUACAAAUGUAACAGAUAGCAUUAAAGGACUCUGUAGGCACUAUGCAACCCAAUUUUAAUAUUUCAAGUAAAAUAAUUGUCAGCUUGUAUUCAUCCAAAGUGAGAUUAGGGUUGUUGUAAGUACUUGAUGUGUGGCCUUCGUAUUAAAAUCGACUAUGUGUCUACUCUAUGAGUAGCUUGCCUUGGAACAUUUUCACUUCUGUUGUUGGAAGACAAUACAUGACAAUGUAUUUUGCUAUUCAGAUUAAUGGAGGAGGGCAGAACAGUCUAGUUUUUAAUGAUAUUCUGUUAGGUGACAGUUAAUUGUAACCUUCAGAAGGUAAUUAACUAACUAGUCUCAUGUUAUAGUCACAACAAAGCUGUCUCAAUUGUAUUGAGUGGGUAUGUUUUGUACAAUUGUGUUAGUCAGUUUCUGUUCUGAUUGCUUAUACUUGUUUAUUAAUAAAGUCUAAAUUGCA